AUUGCUUCCUGGCCUUUUGGCCAAGAUCAAGUGAAGUAUCUGUUCUUAUCAAUUUAAUAUCUAAUAUAUUCUGUAUCUAAGAACAUUAUAUUAAAUGGAUAUCUGGAGCUGGGAGAUGGAAUAGGAGCUUACUCCUCCACUCUGUGCAUCCACUUGGUAUUGCAGUACUUCCGGGAAUGGUCCCCCCCCC